AGAGUUUGAUCCUGGCUCAGGACGAACGCUGGCGGCGUGCCUAACACAUGCAAGUCGAACGAAGCUGCGUGAAUAGAGGUUUCGGCCAAUUGAAACGUAGACUUAGUGGCGGACGGGUGAGUAAUGCGUGAGCAACCUGCCCUUCAGAGGGGGACAACAGCUGGAAACGGCUGCUAAUACCGCAUGAUGUGCGUUGGAGGCAUCUCCGAUGUACCAAAGAUUUAUCGCUGAAGGAUGGGCUCACGUCUGAUUAGCUAGUUGGUGAGGUAACGGCUCACCAAGGCUGCGAUCAGUAGCCGAACUGAGAGGUUGAACGGCCACAUUGGGACUGAGAUACGGCCCAGACUCCUACGGGAGGCAGCAGUGGGGAAUAUUGGGCAAUGGGCGCAAGCCUGACCCAGCAACGCCGCGUGAAGGAAGAAGGCUUUCGGGUUGUAAACUUCUUUUAUGAGGGACGAAGGACGUGACGGUACCUCAUGAAUAAGCCACGGCUAACUACGUGCCAGCAGCCGCGGUAAUACGUAGGUGGCGAGCGUUGUCCGGAUUUACUGGGUGUAAAGGGCGCGUAGGCGGGUAGGCAAGUCAGAUGUGAAAUCUCCGGGCUCAACCCGGAAACUGCAUUUGAAACUGUCUAUCUUGAGUAUCGGAGAGGCAAGCGGAAUUCCGUGUGUAGCGGUGAAAUGCGUAGAUAUACGGAGGAACACCAGUGGCGAAGGCGACUUACUGGGCCGUAACUGACGCUGAGGCGCGAAAGCGUGGGGAGCGAACAGGAUUAGAUACCCUGGUAGUCCACGCUGUAAACGAUGAAUGCUAGGUGUAGUGGGUAUCGACCCCUGCUGUGCCGGAGUAAACACAAUAAGCAUUCCGCCUGGGGAGUACGGCCGCAAGGUUGAAACUCAAAGGAAUUGACGGGGGCCCGCACAAGCAGCGGAGCACGUUGUUUAAUUCGAAGCAACGCGAAGAACCUUACCAGGUCUUGACAUCCAGGUAAAGCCUAAGAGAUUAGGUGUGUGCUUGCACAAUCUGAGACAGGUGGUGCAUGGUUGUCGUCAGCUCGUGUCGUGAGAUGUUGGGUUAAGUCCCGCAACGAGCGCAACCCUUAUGGUCAGUUACUAACGUGUGGAGGCGAGGACUCUGACAAGACUGCCGGGGACAACUCGGAGGAAGGUGGGGAUGACGUCAAAUCAUCAUGCCCCUUAUGAUUUGGGCUACACACGUGCUACAAUGGCGUAAACAAAGGGAAGCGAACCUGCGAGGGGGAGCGAAACCCAAAAAUAACGUCCCAGUUCGGACUGCAGUCUGCAACCCGACUGCACGAAGCUGGAAUCGCUAGUAAUCGCGGAUCAGAAUGCCGCGGUGAAUACGUUCCCGGGUCUUGUACUCACCGCCCGUCA
rnacentral:rRNA from 1 species